GAUGAAGAACGUAGUGAAAUGCGAUACGUAAUGUGAAUUGCAGAAUUCAGUGAAUCAUCGAAUCUUUGAACGCACAUUGCGCCCGCCAGCACUCUGGCGGGCAUGCCUGUUCGAGCGUCAUUUCAACCAUCAAGCCCCAGGCUUGCGUUGGAGCCCUGCGGCUGCCGCAGCCUCCUAAAAGCAGUGGCGGGCUCGCUAUCACACCGAGUGCAGUAGAUUACUCUUCGCUCAGGGCGUGCAGCGGGUUCCGGCCGUGAAACCCCCUACUUUUAAAGGUUGACCUCGGAUCAGGUAGGAAUACCCGCUGAACUUAAGCAUAUCAAUACGGAGGA
rnacentral:misc_RNA from 1 species